rnacentral:rRNA from 1 species
CCUACGGGUGGCAGCAGUAGGGAAUAUUCGGCAAUGGGGGGAACCCUGACCGAGCAACGCCGCGUGAAGGAAGAAGGAAUUCGUUCUGUAAACUUCUGUUAUAAAGGAAGAAAGACGGAAGGAGGAAAUGACAUCUGAGUGACGGUACUUUAUGAGAAAGCCACGGCUAACUACGUGCCAGCAGCCGCGGUAAUACGUAGGUGGCAAGCGUUAUCCGGAGUUAUUGGGCGUAAAGGGGGAGCAGGCGGCAGCUAAGGUGUGUGGUAAAAGACUGAGGCUUAACUUCGGUAAGCCAUAGAAACCGGGCAGCUAGAGUGCAGGAGAGGGUCGUGGAAUUCCAUGUGUAGCGGUGAAAUGCGUAGAUAUAUGGAGGAACACCGAUGGCGAAGGCGGCGCUCUGGCCUGCAACUGACGCUCAGUCCCGAAAGCGUGGGGAGCAAAUAGGAUUAGAUACCCCAGUAGUC